rnacentral:rRNA from 1 species
AUGCACCACCACCUCUCUGAAGCAGAACUGAUAAAACUUGGCGGAUGUGUACUUGUUGCCCCAGCUAUAGGACCAUGCAUCAGCAGUCGCCGUGUUGAUGUAGCUAGCCGCCGUGACGGCCUGGAGCUGGCCACUUCCUGGUGGGCUUGGGCAGACAACGGUAAGCAGAAGACGGCGUUCAAAGAGCUGGUCAGAAGAAAUUCGCGGACAGAAACGUCUUCAUUAGUGGUGAAGGAGAAGGCCCUUUGGUAUUUUUCUGCGAAGAUUUGGCCACACCACAAGUCCUUCCAGAAUAAUGUCGUCUCUCCACUUCCAACAGUGACAGAGGAGAUCCCUCGGUAA